rfam:Rhizobiales bacterium TMED168 38232, whole genome shotgun sequence.
GGUCCAUAAGAUCGCCGUUCGUCAACGAGGCUUCGUACACGAGCGCAAUACCU